ACAGAGUUCACUAAAUACCAAUGCACAAUCCCAUUGGUAAGAUCCAUUGAUUACCAACGUAUAAUCUCUAUUGAUGGGGCCCAUUGAUUACCAAUAUAUAAUCUCCAUUGACGGGGUUUACUGAAACAUAGUUAUGUUGAGAGAAUAAAUCCGAUCCAUAUCUAAGCACUUUUAUAUCAUAACAUAUCAUAAUUUUCAUUAAAUA
rnacentral:lncRNA from 1 species